UUAAAAUAUGAGUUUCUGGAAGAGGGUAAAUUCUAGUUGUAAACAAGCAACAAUAUAGACUGAGACACUUAAGACAGCUGGCAGCCUGCGAUUGAUAGUUUCUGGCCUUUCCCCAGUGAUCUGUUCAUGAGCUCAUCAAACCGACUUCGAUAGGCAUGAGAUGGAGCAGCAUCUUGAAUGAGCAGGAGCCCAAUUGCUGUUGACCAAUUAACAGUUCAAGCAACUCAUACGGUCAACUGGCAUACCUAAAGCCACUGAACAUGAGCUUGAUUGGCUGAUGGAUCCCUGAUGAUUAUGGAUAUGGUGGUUGGUGCAUGGGGAGGCUUGGAAUAUCCAUCACCUGUGACGAUUGAAGACCCUCCCCAGGCCUUAUUUCAUCAGAAAGGCAGGCAUGAGUAAGUAAAAACAUAUCAGUUCAUUUACAUUUUGUUAAGAAUAGAUAUGUCCUUGUUACAUAGUUUUCAAUCUCUUUUUCUGGUUAGUUCAAACGCUUCUUUCUUCUUUCCUUUUUAAAUGUACAGGGUGCAUACAAGUAUUAGGUGGUUUUGGAACUGGUCAACAUACAUUCCCCGACUGGAAGCUAAUGUUUUUGAAAUUCCAAUAAUGCCCCCACAUGAUCAUAAAAAUGA